AGCACAUAAGACAUGUCACAUUUUGUCUUGGAGAAUCAGAAAUUGUCAUGCUGUUGGCAUUAUAUUGAAACCAGGUGCCAAGAUGAAUCCAGGGUUAGUUUUUCUCAUCAUAUCACUUCAGUGGAUCACAGGUUUUGCAGAUGUAAAUGCUGUUACACAGUCACCAAACUUUAUGCUCGCUGCUAAGGAAAAUGCCACUCUCAACUGCAAUCACACUAAAGGUGAUACUUAUAACACAAUGUACUGGUUUCGUCAGCAUCAAGGAAAAACUAUGGAGCUCAUAGUGUUCACAACAAGUUUUGGCACUGUGGAAUUUGGAAAGCUGGAAAAAACGAAAUACUCAGUCAAACAUGAAUCUGCUGCCAAGGGUGUUCUUACUGUGAUAAGUCUGGAGUCUGAUGACAAUGCGCUGUAUUGUGUGCAGUGA